rnacentral:rRNA from 1 species
UACAGAGGCCUCGAGCGUUAGGCGGAAUCACUGGGCUUAAAGCGCGUGUAGGCGGCCCGGCACGUCCGUCGCUGAAAUCCCCCGGCUCAACCGGGGAAGUGGCGUGGAUACGACCGGGCUGGAGGGGGGUAGGGGGAGCCGGAACUUCCGGUGGAGCGGUGAAAUGCGUUGAGAUCGGAAGGAACGCCCGUGGCGAAAGCGGGCUCCUGGACCCCACCUGACGCUGAGACGCGAAAGCCAGGGGAGCGAACGGG